rnacentral:rRNA from 1 species
UACGGAGGGAGCUAGCGUUGUUCGGAAUUACUGGGCGUAAAGCGCGCGUAGGCGGCUUUGUAAGUUAGAGGUGAAAGCCCGGGGCUCAACCCCGGAACUGCCUUUAAGACUGCAUCGCUUGAAUCCGGGAGAGGUGAGUGGAAUUCCGAGUGUAGAGGUGAAAUUCGUAGAUAUUCGGAAGAACACCAGUGGCGAAAGGCGGCUCACUGGACCGGUAUUGACGCUGAUGUGCGAAAGCGUGGGGAGCAAACGGG